CCCUUAGAUGUCCUGGACCGCACGCGUGCUACACUGAUGCAUACAGCGAGCACUUCCCGGCCCCGAAAGGCGGCUGGUAAUCAGCAAUAUGCAUCGUGAUGGGGAUAGAUCUUUGGAAUUCUUGAUCUUGAACGAGGAAUGCCUAGUAGGCGCAGGUCAUUACCCUGCGUCGAUUAAGUCCCUGCCCUUUGUACACACCGCCCGUCGCUCCUACCGGUUCGAGUGAUCCGGUGAACCUUUUGGACCGAGACUGCUUGCAGACUUGGGAAAUCAAGUAAACCACGUCACUUAGAGGAAGGAGAAGUCGUAACA
rnacentral:rRNA from 1 species